rnacentral:rRNA from 1 species
UACGUAGGGGGGCAAGCGUUGUCCGGAUUUACUGGGCGUAAAGCGCGUGUAGGCGGCCACGCAGGUCCGUUGUGAAAACUAGAGGCUCAACCUCUAGACGUCGACGGAAACCGUGUGGCUAGAGUCCGGAAGAGGAGAGUGGAAUUCCUGGUGUAGCGGUGAAAUGCGCAGAUAUCAGGAAGAACACCAAUGGCGAAGGCAGCUCUCGUGGGACGGUGACUGACGCUGAGACGCGAAAGCGUGGGGAGCGAACAGG